GCCGAAAUAGCUCAGUUAGGAGAGCGUUAGACUGAAAUAUCUAAAAGUCCCUGGUUCGAUCCCGGGUUUCGGCA
rnacentral:tRNA from 1 species